rnacentral:rRNA from 1 species
GACGGAGGAUGCAAGCGUUAUCCGGAAUGAUUGGGCGUAAAGCGUCCGCAGGUGGCAGUUCAAGUCUGCUGUCAAAGACCGGGGCUUAACUUCGGAAAGGCAGUGGAAACUGAACAGCUAGAGUAUGGUAGGGGCAGAGGGAAUUCCUGGUGUAGCGGUGAAAUGCGCAGAUAUCAGGAAGAACACCAAUGGCGAAAGCAGCUUUCUGGGACGGUACUGACGCUGAGACGCGAAAGCGUGGGGAGCGAACAGG